AGUCGAAGAUGAAGCUGGAGCUUGCUCCGGCGGAUUAGUGGCGAACGCCCUUAAUACACGUGAGCAAUCUGCCCUUGACUCUGGGAUAACUGCGGGAAACUGUAGCUAAUACCGGAUACUUUCCUCGGUGGGCAUCCACUGAGGAAGAAAGAAUUUCGGUCAAGGAUGAGCUCGCGACCUAUCAGCUAGUUGGUGAGGUAAAGGCUCACCAAGGCGACGACGGGUAGCCGGCCUGAGAGGGUGACCGGCCACACUGGGACUGAGACACGGCCCAGACUCCUACGGGAGGCAGCAGUGGGGAAUAUUGCACAAUGGACGAAAGUCUGAUGCAGCAACGCCGCGUGAGGGACGAAGGCCUUCGGGUUGUAAACCUCUUUUAGCAGGGAAGAAGCGAAAGUGACGGUACCUGCAGAAAAAGCACCGGCUAACUACGUGCCAGCAGCCGCGGUAAUACGUAGGGUGCAAGCGUUGUCCGGAAUUAUUGGGCGUAAAGAGCUCGUAGGCGGUUUGUCGCGUCUGCUGUGAAAUUUCGAGGCUCAACCUCGAACUUGCAGUGGGUACGGGCAGGCUAGAGUGCAGUAGGGGAGAUGGGAAUUCCUGGUGUAGCGGUGGAAUGCGCAGAUAUCAGGAGGAACACCAAUGGCGAAGGCACAUCUCUGGGCUGUAACUGACGCUGAGGAGCGAAAGCGUGGGGAGCGAACAGGAUUAGAUACCCUGGUAGUCCACGCCGUAAACGGUGGGUGCUAGCUGUGGGCCACAUUCCACGUGGUCCGUGACGAAGUUAACACAUUAAGCACCCCGCCUGGGGAGUACGGCCGCAAG
rnacentral:rRNA from 1 species